UGAAAAGCUGCACUCAGCCCUCGCUGCAUCAGUGUAAAAGGUAAACAAGCCGCUGAUGUCGGAAUUUACUUCCACAAUGGACAUUCUGCGUUACCUCUUCAUUUAUGGUGUAUACCUUACAAACGGCGUAUUAGGGUUUACGAAGCAAUCGCUCUUUAAACGUCCUAAAAUUGACAAUACCGGCCCCACAAUCUGGAAUUGUCCAGAAAAUAUAAAAGUAAAGGCAGAUGAGGGGAGGUUAACAACAGUUGUUUUCUGGAAAGAGCCGUAUGCAAAUGAUACUAAGGAUGGAAAUGUCAAG